rnacentral:hammerhead_ribozyme from 1 species
AUCUAGCUGACGAGUCCCAAAUUGGACGAAACGCGCGUCCCGGAU